GUAGGGGGCAAGCGUUGUCCGGAAUUAUUGGGCGUAAAGCGCGCGCAGGCGGUUCCUUAAGUCUGAUGUGAAAGCCCACGGGCUCAACCGUGGAGGGUCAUUGGAAACUGGGGAACUUGAGUACAGAAGAGGAGAGUGGAAUUCCACGUGUAGCGGUGAAAUGCGUAGAUAUGUGGAGGAACACCAGUGGCGAAGGCGACUCUCUGGUCUGUAACUGACGCUGAGGCGCGAAAGCGUGGGGAGCAAACAGGAUUAGAUACCCUGGUAGUCCACGCCGUAAACGAUGAGUGCUGGGUGUUAGGGGGCUUCCACCCCUUAGUGCUGAAGUUAACGCAUUAAGCACUCCGCCUGGGGAGUACGGCCGCAAGGCUG
rnacentral:rRNA from 1 species